rnacentral:rRNA from 1 species
UACAGAGGGUGCGAGCGUUAAUCGGAAUUACUGGGCGUAAAGCGUGCGUAGACGGUUAUUUAAGUCGGAUGUGAAAGCCCCGGGCUCAACCUGGGAAUUGCAUUCGAGACUGAAUAGCUAGGGUGCGGUAGAGGGAAGCGGAAUUUCCGGUGUAGCGGUGAAAUGCGUAGAUAUCGGAAGGAACAUCAGUGGCGAAAGCAGCUUCCUGGACCAGCACCGACGUUCAGGCACGAAAGCGUGGGGAGCAAACAGG